GAUGAACGCUGGCGGCGUGCCUAAUACAUGCAAGUCGAGCGAACAGACGAGGAGCUUGCUCCUCUGACGUUAGCGGCGGACGGGUGAGUAACACGUGGAUAACCUACCUAUAAGACUGGGAUAACUUCGGGAAACCGGAGCUAAUACCGGAUAAUAUAUUGAACCGCAUGGUUCAAUAGUGAAAGACGGUUUUGCUGUCACUUAUAGAUGGAUCCGCGCCGCAUUAGCUAGUUGGUAAGGUAACGGCUUACCAAGGCGACGAUGCGUAGCCGACCUGAGAGGGUGAUCGGCGACACUGGAACUGAGACACGGUCCAGACUCCUACGGGAGGCAGCAGUAGGGAAUCUUACGCAAUGGGCGAAAGCCUGACGGAGCAACGCCGCGUGAGUGAUGAAGGUCUUCGGAUCGUAAAACUCUGUUAUUAGGGAAGAACAAAUGUGUAAGUAACUAUGCACGUCUUGACGGUACCUAAUCAGAAAGCCACGGCUAACUACGUG
rnacentral:rRNA from 1 species